rnacentral:rRNA from 1 species
GACAGAGGGUGCAAACGUUGUUCGGAAUUACUGGGCAUAAAGCGCACGUAGGUGGUCCGCUAAGUCGCGUGUGAAAUCCCCCGGCUCAACCGGGGAACUGCACCUGAUACUGGCGUGCUCGAGGACGGUAGGGGUGAGUGGAACUCCAGGUGGAGCGGUGAAAUGCGUAGAUAUCUGGAGGAACACCGGUGGCGAAAGCGGCUCACUGGACCGUCUCUGACGCUGAGGUGCGAAAGCUAGGGUAGCAAACGGG